UUGGUUCAGUAUGUGUGGCAUGGUGGUGCCCUCUGAUUCCCUGCUGCUCCAACCUCAAGCCACCUGGACAUGGGAAGGGCUUUAAAUACAAAGAGAAGAGCCAGUACCUACUUCAAGCACGAGGCCCAGGUCCCCAGAUCUGUGAUCCAUCUCUAACUAGAAGCAGAUGUGUGUCCUACAGAGAGCUGCUUAGGACAGUGUGAGUUUCAAUAUGAGAAACAGAAAGUGGACUGGGAAAGAAGAGAAUGGAAAAAACAGAAGCAUACCUGCACACCAUGGCAAAAGUUGUGUUCGGCUGUUUAAAGAUCUCCUUGGAAUUCCUGCAAGAAAUUCCUGGGUUUGGGCAGUCCAGGAGAAGGGGCUAAAGGUCUUUUUUCAGUGAUGUUGAGUCAUCUAAUGAAGUGGCGAAUCGCCAUUCUCAGCUUGAGCAAACCUUACAGAAAUACCAGUCUUUAGGCAGAGAAACAUUGGUAUAAGCUGCCUUCAAAAGAAGACAUUAUUCUUAUGCUUCCAACCUUCUAAAGGCAAGGCUAAUUUCUCCACCACACCUCUUAGGCACAAAUGAUCUCAUGAACAGGAGAGGACUUUGAUCUCCUUGCGAGGUCUCGGUCACCGGCUCUGUGCCAGGCACCCCCCAGUUUGAUGACUACUUGCAAGCCUGCCCCUUCCCUGUACCAGGAAGCUUUACCCAACAAACCUCCUGGGAACGAAGCUUUCUAAAAAGCCAGCCUAGGAGCCCAGAGGGACACUGGCUGGGGUAAGGUUGGCUCCAGCCCUAGACUCUUAGCAGCAGCAGGUGUGCUGUCAGGUAAAGGAGACUUCUCUCAGGACUGCCAGGCUGUAUUUCC